UGGGGAAUAUUGCACAAUGGGCGCAAGCCUGAUGCAGCCAUGCCCCGUGUAUGAAGAAGGCCUUCGGGUUGUAAAGUACUUUCAGCGGGGAGGAAGGGAGUAAAGUUAAUACCUUUGCUCAUUGACGUUACCCGCAGAAGAAGCACCGGCUAACUCCGUGCCAGCAGCCGCGGUAAUACGGAGGGUGCAAGCGUUAAUCGGAAUUACUGGGCGUAAAGCGCACGCAGGCGGUUGAUUGAGUCAGAUGUGAAAUCCCCGGGCUUAACCCGGGAAUUGCAUCUGAUACUGGUCAGCUAGAGUCUUGUAGAGGGGGGUAGAAUUCCAUGUGUAGCGGUGAAAUGCGUAGAGAUGUGGAGGAAUACCGGUGGCGAAGGCGGCCCCCUGGACAAAGACUGACGCUCAGGUGCGAAAGCGUGGGGAGCAAACAGG
rnacentral:rRNA from 1 species